GUGGGGAAUAUUGGACAAUGGGGGGAACCCUGAUCCAGCCAUGCCGCGUGUGUGAAGAAGGCCUUUUGGUUGUAAAGCACUUUAAGCGAGGAGGAGGCUACCGAGAUUAAUACUCUUGGAUAGUGGACGUUACUCGCAGAAUAAGCACCGGCUAACUCUGUGCCAGCAGCCGCGGUAAUACAGAGGGUGCAAGCGUUAAUCGGAUUUACUGGGCGUAAAGCGCGCGUAGGUGGCCAAUUAAGUCAAAUGUGAAAUCCCCGAGCUUAACUUGGGAAUUGCAUUCGAUACUGGUUGGCUAGAGUAUGGGAAAGGAUGGUAGAAUUCCAGGUGUAGCGGUGAAAUGCGUAGAGAUCUGGAGGAAUACCGAUGGCGAAGGCAGCCAUCUGGCCUAAUACUGACACUGAGGUGCGAAAGCAUGGGGAGCAAACAGGAUUAGAAACCCGAGUAGUCC
rnacentral:rRNA from 1 species